UGGGGAAUUUUGGACAAUGGGCGAAAGCCUGAUCCAGCAAUGCCGCGUGUGUGAAGAAGGCCUUCGGGUUGUAAAGCACUUUUGUCCGGAAAGAAAUCCUUGGCUCUAAUACAGUCGGGGGAUGACGGUACCGGAAGAAUAAGCACCGGCUAACUACGUGCCAGCAGCCGCGGUAAUACGUAGGGUGCAAGCGUUAAUCGGAAUUACUGGGCGUAAAGCGUGCGCAGGCGGUUUGCUAAGACCGAUGUGAAAUCCCCGGGCUCAACCUGGGAACUGCAUUGGUGACUGGCAGGCUAGAGUAUGGCAGAGGGGGGUAGAAUUCCACGUGUAGCAGUGAAAUGCGUAGAGAUGUGGAGGAAUACCGAUGGCGAAGGCAGCCCCCUGGGCCAAUACUGACGCUCAUGCGCGAAAGCGUGGGGAGCAAACAGGAUUAGAUACCCUGGUAGUCCACGCCCUAAACGAUGUCAACUAGUUGUUGGGGAUUCAUUUCCUUAGUAACGUAGCUAACGCGUGAAGUUGACCGCCUGGGGAGUACGGCCGCAAGGUUGAAACUUAAAUGAAUUGACGGGGUCAUAGCUGUUUCCU
rnacentral:rRNA from 1 species